AAAAAAGUAAUUUUAAACUCUUAAUUAUUAGUAGUUAAGUUCUUGAAAAUUAAAGAAAAUGGCGGUAUUUUAGUCUGUUCAGAGGAACCUGUCCUGUAAUUGAUAUUCCACGAUUUUACAUACUUGUUUUUUGGUUUAUAUAUCGCUGUGGAUUGAAUAUUUCUUUUGGAUUAUAAUAUUCAGAAUUUUUAUUUAAAAGAUUUCAGGUCAAGAUGUAGCUAAUGGGCAAGCAGAGGUGGGUUACAUUAAUUUUAGUAAGAUAGAGAUUAUGUGUAAAAAUAGGUUGUAAAUUGGAUUUGAAAGUAAUUGUUAAUAAAAAUUUUAAUAAUGAUUAUAGCUCUAAAAU
rnacentral:rRNA from 1 species